CUGAAAAAUAUGACUGAGAAAACUUCUACUCACGCGGAUUACUUUAAUCCUGGAGACGCCAUCUCAUGUGCUUUCAAAGGACAUGAGGAUUCUCGCUCUCUUUCAGUGUAUGGUCCAAAGCUCCCCUCUGUGUCAGUGAGUCCCUCUGCUGAGAUAGUGGAGGGCAGAUCAGUGACUCUGACCUGUAGCAGUGAUGCUAACCCAGCAGCUAACUACACCUGGUACAAGGAGAAUCCAGGCUUUCUCGGUGAAGGAUCACAGCUCGUCUUCAGCUCCAUCUGGUCCUCUGACUCUGGACAGUAUUACUGUACAGCUGAGAACCAGCUGGGGAGGACAUCUGAAUAUGCAUUUAUUAAUGUGAAAUAUGGUCCAACGCUUCCCUCUGUGUCAGUGAGUCCCUCUGCUGAGAUAGUGGAGGGCAGUUCAGUGACUCUGACCUGUAGCAGUGAUGCUAACCCAGCAGCUAACUACACCU